rnacentral:rRNA from 1 species
GACAAGAAAUAACAAUACGGGGCUUAAUGUCUUGUAAUUGGAAUGAUGGGAAUUUAAACCUCUUCCAGAGUAUCAAUUGGAGGGCAAGUCUGGUGCCAGCAGCCGCGGUAAUUCCAGCUCCAAUAGCGUAUAUUAAAAUUGUUGCAGUUAAAAAGCUCGUAGUUGAAUUUCUGCUGCAUUGCAUUUGCUCCUUGACGAGUGUCUGUAUUGCGGCUUAUCUCGGAUUAUGCUUGCAUUUUCCGGAUGUUUACUUUGAGAAAAUUAGAGUGCUCAAAGCAGGCUUUUGCCUUGAAUAGUUUAGCAUGGAAUAAUAAAGUAGGACUUUGGUUCUAUUUUGUUGGUUUUAGGUACCAAAGUAAUGGUUAAUAGGAACAGUUGGGGGCAUUCGUAUUUAACUGUCAGAGGUGAAAUUCUUAG